rnacentral:snRNA from 1 species
AGCUUUGCGCAGUGGCAGUAUUGUAGCCAAUGAGGUUUAUCUGAGGCGCGAUUAUUGCUAAUUGGAAUAAUGUCUUUUCAAGUCCUUUGUGAAUGGGCUCCCUUCUAAGAAAAUGUGGCUUUAAUCAAAAAUA